AUUGAACGCUGGCGGCAGGCCUAACACAUGCAAGUCGAGCGAGCGGCGGACGGGUGAGUAAUGUAUGGGGAUCUGCCCGCUCGCGGGGGAUAACUACUGGCAACGGUGGCUAAUCCCGCAUCCUAUCGGAUGACCCCCUAUGGGAUUAGCUAGUAGGUGGGGUAAAGGCUCACCUAGGCGACGAUCGCUAGCUGGUCUGAGAGGAUGCUCAGCCACACUGGGACUGAGACACGGCCCAGACUCCUACGGGAGGCAGCAGUGGGGAAUAUUGCACAAGGGGCGCAAGCCUGAGGCAGCCAUGCCGCGUGUAUGAAGAAGGCCUGAGGGUUGUAAAGUACUUUCAGCGGGGAGGCGUUACCCGCAGAAGAAGCACCGGCUAACUCCGUGCCAGCAGCCGCGGUAAUAC
rnacentral:rRNA from 1 species